UACAGAGGUCCCCAAGCGUUGUUCGGAUUCAUUGGGCGUAAAGCGCGUGUAGGCGGUUUGAUUAGUCUGAUGUGAAAGCCCUGGGCUCAACCCAGGAAGUGCAUUGGAAACUGUCAGACUUGAAUACGGGAGAGGGUAGUGGAAUUCCUAGUGUAGGAGUGAAAUCCGUAGAUAUUAGGAGGAACACCGGUGGCGAAGGCGGCUACCUGGACCGAUAUUGACGCUGAGACGCGAAAGCGUGGGUAGCAAACAGGAUUAGAAACCCUUGUAGU
rnacentral:rRNA from 1 species